rnacentral:lncRNA from 1 species
CAAUCCUGAUUUUAAAUGGAAUUCUCAUGUGUUUGUAGCACGGAUUUGUGUACCGUGAGCACGGAAGCACCCCCGGAUACUACGAUGGCCGUUACUGGACAAUGUGGAAGCUUCCCUUGUUCGGAUGCACUGACUCUGCUCAAGUGUUGAAGGAAGUUCAAGAAUGCAAAACUGAGUACCCUAAUGCCUUCAUCAGGAUCAUUGGAUUCGACAACAACCGUCAAGUCCAGUGCAUCAGUUUCAUCGCUUACAAGCCACCAAGCUUCACCGGUGCUUAAUUCGCUUUCAUAUAAUAAUAUCUUCUCAUUUCAUUUCCAAUAAGUCUGUUUCUUUUUUUUCUCUUUGGAUUUCUGUUUACGAGACUUUCUAUAUCGGAUUGUAAAAUGUCUGAUUUUAUGAACAUGUAAUUUCUAUAUUGCUUCUUCUUCGUGGUUACUACUUUCAGAUGGCUAUUAGGUUUUCAAUUUAUUGGGAUAAGAAAACAGUCAGAAUAAUAACUUUACAAAACUGGUUAGAUAAGAUAAUGGUAAUAUUUUUGGAAUAGGAAAACAUUACUACCUAGGAAAAAAAAAAUUCAUAUGGAGUUAAUUAGUUCAUUAGAGAUUCCAAUAACAAAUCAUUGCAUCAUUUUAUCGUCACGUUCCAUAGAUUUCAAGCAUAUAGUAUAUACAUGACAUCGGUGCAUUAUCAUUGGAAAUAAGAUACAUAUAGAUAUGGAUCUCUAUUCUUAUAUUUGUUAUAAUUGUUUUUUUUUUGGUAAAAUGUUAAGCUUACCAUUUUCUGAAAGAAGGAUACACUGUUGUUGUUAAACAACUUAUUACAAGAGAAAAACAGAGAAGCAGAAAAGAAAGACAAAGGAAACAGACUACACAACAACAAUCAAAAUAAGAGAAAACGACACUAAGGUGGAAAGAGACGUCUGAUGGAAAGGUAGAGCAGGAGGAGCGUGUCGUGGCCAUCAGCUGGAGGGGCUAAGGACAAGAGACGAUCCCUCAUAGAACGAUCAACAUACUUGGCGAUCGCCGCUGCGGUAGAGGAAACAUUCUUAAAGAUACGGACGUUCCUCUCUCUCCACAGGCUGUAGACUCCCUGAGCCUGGAGGAUCUUAAUGACAAAGUCCCAGCAGAUUGUAUCAAAAGCUUUGCGGAUGUCUAUUUUUAGCAUGCUGCUCCUGCUGCAAUUUUGGUUCUCAUACUUGCGGAUCAGCUCAGCUGCAAGAAGGACGUUUUCACCCAAGCUGCGCCCUUUAAGAAAAGCCGACUGAGCACGACUUAUCGAACUCUUGAGAAUCGGCUUGAGCCUGUUGGCGAUUAUCUUGGUGAUGAUCUUAUACACAAUGUUGCAGCAGCUUAUCGGCCGGUAGUCCCGAAGGCUACAAGCAGUAGUGGUCUUAGGAAUGAGAACAAUAGCUGUGGUGUUUAGGUCUUUCAGCAAUCGGCCAUUACGAAAAAACUCAGAAACCGCAGCAAUCACAUCCCCUCCAACAGUAUCCCACGAUGCUUUAAGGAACUCAAAAGAAUAGCCAUCGGGACCUGGGCUUUUGUUUAGGGGCAUGGAGAAGAUAGUACCUUUGAUCUCAGUUUCCAGGACAUCUCUCUUCAGGUAAGCUUUCUGUAGGUCCGAGCAUCUGAAGGAGAGCAAAUCUUCCAAAGCAUUUAGAGGAACUGGUGAGACAGGAAGCUCUGUGUGGCCAAGGAUAUCCUGGAAAUAAGAGACUGAGUGCGCCUUUAUAUCAUCGAUGGACCCCAGGAACUGGCCAGACUCAUCUAUCAGAUAAUGGAUGUGGUUGCUAUUAUUCCUUUGUGCUACUGUUUUAUGAAAGAAAGGUGUAUUCCUGUCUCCCACAUCAGCCCAGCGAACACGCGACCUCUGCCUGAAGAACUUUUGCUCAGCAUUGAGUAAGGUGUUAAGGAUAUCACGCUGACGGUGCUCCUCAGAGGCAGUAGCUGGGUCCGGGCAGGUGAGAAGACUUUGCUGCAGGUUCGCUACCCUCACAGACUGCUGCUUUACCCUUCCUGUGAUGCCACUAAAGUGCGUUUUAUUUAAGUUCCUCAGAUCUGUCUUAAGAAGCUUCAUUCGUCGGACCAAUUUAAACUGCUCAGAUCCUUGAACUUCAGCAUUUGACCACGCGUCUGAGACAACAGAAGAGUAGUCAGGAUGGCCAGUAAGAUGGUGAUAAAAUUUGAAAGGCUUGCGGAUACGUCUACUGAUUGAGGGAACCCUGAGAAGGCAAGGCGCAUGAUCAGACUGAUCUGGCUGAAGAAAGUCUGCGUAUGAAUCCGGAAAUGAAGCGGCCCACGAGUGGUUGAUAAGAGCAUGGUCAAUUCUUUUGGAGACAGGGUUGGAGCCACUGUUAUUCCACCAAGUGAAAGGGAGGCCUUUCGCUUGACAUUCGAAGAGCUCAGAGUCCUGCAAAGCUGCAACCAUAUCAUCAAUACCUGAUGGAUCAAUAACUGAGAGAGGGUAAUCAGAGUGCUGGCUUAGACGAAAGAUUUGGUUGAAGUCUCCCAGCACCGACCAAGGAGAGUUAACAACCGGAGUGGAAUCAUGUAUGUAGACCAUCUCUUCCCAUAAGUUUUUACGCUCGAGUACAGUGUUGAACCCAUAAACAAAAGAGACCGUGAAGUUCACAUUUUCCGCCAUAAGAUAAAUCCCACAAGUAACAACCUGAGCAGAAGACUUGUAGAUGAAGACUCGAACAGACGGGUCCCAAACAACAAUUAUUCGACCCGAGAGAUGAUGAUCAUAGUUGCCGAAAAAGCUCCAUCCUAUAGGGAGAGCAUUAUUAAUCCGUUGUGAAUUUCUUUCCUGAAUAUGUGUUUCCAAAAAAGCUCCAAGGAGCGGCCUCUGGAUAUUAAUCCAGUUUCUAACCAUGGUGUGGCGUCUGGGAUCGUUAAGCCCUCUCACAUUCCAUGCAAAAAAUUUCGACAUUUAUAAUUAUAUAGAUUUUGCGACCCUGCGGCCACAGCUCUGGCGGUUAACCAGCAAAAACGGGGCUUCAUGCUCAUCUGAGCCGUCUGCCUCAGCACUAGGGACCCCCGAGGAUGGACCUGACUCAUACGAAGAAGUAAUCAAGUCGUGCGCAGGUGGGAAUUUCUGAAUAGAGAUAUCCGGUGGGACAGUCUUAUCAGAUGAUUCAGGAAUGCCAUUCUCCCUAACCGGAGUUGUUACAGUGGUGUCCUCUGUAUGCUCCUCAGGAGGUAUUUCACCAUCUUCCAAACCCUGAGAGGAUGUGACACCCUUCUUCGCAUCACCAUCUACCGAUCGCUCCUUGUUGUGAGUACCAGCUUUACCUCCUCUCCUACGACGUCCUUGCCUAGACUGUUUCCUCCCCUUAUCCUCCUCAUUCGUUGGACUAGGAGAACGUCUUCUGCCUUCCUUGUUACUACGAGGCAGGGCACGACACUUGGUGUUGAGAUGACCAUAUUUACCACAAGCAUUACACUUUAGUGGGAGCCAAGGGUAAGAAAUAGUUAUCUCAUUUUCUUUCCCAUUUGAAAACCCAGAGAUCAUCUUUGAGGGGAGCUCCCGUGUGAGAUCCACACGCACAAAUAACUUUGCAACCUGAAAGUUUUCCUUCCGCUCUGUUUCCGGAGCCAAAGACACAGGUUUGCCUACUGCUGUGGCCAGCCGACUCAAACUCUCCUUGUUGAACAGCAAGUAAGGGACUCCCCUUAGCUCUACUGGAACCACCGCACUUGUAAUCGGAGCUUCCUCCGGAGUAAAAUCAUGCGACCAUGGAGCAACAAACAUCGGGAAUCCCGCAAUGUUCCAACAAGUCCUGGAGAGGAGGUGCUCCCUUGUCUUAGCAGACGUGACUUUUAAUAGAUACUCCCCAGCGCCCACCAUGUGGACAAAGAUUCGCGGCCCUGUCUUAGCCCAUACGGCAUUAACAACACCGAUUAUACGACCCAUGGAAGGCCAGUCCCCGUGGAAUCUAGCGAAGAUGUAAUCACGAAACUCCUCCUUAGCUGAUUCUAUAUUUUCAUCCGGGAUAAGAACGAAAGGUACUCCCGAUACGUGUUCAGAGGGUGUUCCUAGCUCUUCCAAAGUCGCAAAGUCCUUGACUAAACUGGCGUAGCUCUUAGUUCCAGAGUACUCCCCUAGGGUAGCAGCCUUCUGCAGGGCUCCAUGAGGGAUGUCUCUACUAACCACUUCCUGGAUUGGAAGGGAAACCUCUAUUGUAGCGUCAGGAGUUACCUCCUCCGAUACUGUAGGGGUAACGUCAAGCUCACAUGGCGUGAGAGGUGAUGAAUUGCCAAACUCAAGAACAGGAGCUAGCGGUAGUGGUAGGUGACCCAAACUCAGAUCUACAGAGACCUCAGGGGUCGACGGCGAAACCUCAGUCGUGGGUGCCACCGAAGCAGCAAUUACAGCAUCAGCGCUUGAAGCGCCGGCGAGAGACGACUGUUGUAACGACCGGACCGAAGUGGAGGGUUUCAACGCUCCUUGGAGACGGGCCAUCUUCGAAGAGCCCCGGAGGAGAUUACGAGUUUUUUUCUUCUUUUUCGGAGGCAUAUGGAUGUUAUAAUUGUUUUGAAAAGUUAACGAAACUUUCCACUUAUCAAAGUGAUUUUCUAGAAAAAACGUAUGCAUGUAAAUCUCUCACUCACACGGAUAGUUAAUCCCUGAAGAGAGGAUGACAGUUGACACACUUGAAUUCUAUGAUAGACGCGUUUGUGGACGCACCAUACCUAAGAUAAGCAUGAUGAUAAGAUUGGAGAUUUCCUUAUAUAUUCUCUAAAAAAUUCAAAUCAUUUUCGAAAUAAGACAGUUAUGGCAGGCAGUGGAGUUAAAACAAUUCUGUUAAAUUGGUGAAUUCUGUUGAUUUACCAAUUUUAACAGAAUUUUGUCAUAUUUAAUUUAUAUAGUAAUUCUAUUUUAAGAUAAUAUAAUCUACAAUUAUAAUUUAUCAAAUAGCAUAGAUUUUUAUAUUAAAAAUUAAUUAAUAUUAAUUUAUAAUAAUAUUAUAUUACUAAUUACAGAAUUAAUUAAUGCACUAUUUUCUAAAAAAUAUUUUUGAAAUUUCAGUAGGAUUUUAUUAGAUUUUUUCUCAACAUAUUUUGUCAUAACUAAAAACAAAAUUCAAAUUUAUAGUUAAAAUUAAUUUAUUAUUUAUAUUCUUAUUUAUAAUUAAUACUUUCUAUGAAUAUUAUUUAUUUCUCUAACAAAAAUAUAUUAAUAUUUGAUUGAUUAAUGUAAAUAAUUAAUUAAAUGAUUCUAGUAUGACUUGUCAACACUAGAAUUUAAAUAUAUUGACUAAAUUUUAUAUAUACCAUUUUUGAGUUGUUCUUAUUCGAUUAUUUAGUGUAUUAAAAUAGAUAUAAUAAAUAUGAAUAGAUUUUACGUGCAAAAUGAUAAAAUAACAUCAAUAUAUUUAGAAAAAAUAAGAAAAAUUACAUAUAAACUUCUUUGGGAAUAAAAAACUAUACAAUAUCAUUUUUGUUUUUCUUAGGACCAUAUAUUUAUAUAAAGUUUCUUAAAAAAUAUUUUCUUAUUAUCUUACUGAAUUGUGUUAUAUUUUACAUUGAUGUAACUCAAAACUGGUAAAAUUUAUUAACUUAUCUAGUAUUAUGUUUCAGAAAGAUGUAUAUUUUAAUAUUUUCACACUUGUUAAGAAAACAUAUCAGAUUUAAAUUACCAAUAUAUUAAUUUCUGUAAUUAAUUAUUCCCCACAACUUGUAACCAAUAAAACUUUAGUAAACACAAUUUUGUUUUUUGAAGUUUACAAUUUACAAUUUACAAUUUACAAUUAAUUUACGCAUUGAAAAUAUAAAAAAAUGUACUAACUGAAAUAUUUUUUUAAAAAAUAUUUAUCUUUUUGAGAUGGAGGGAAUAUUAAUUUAUAGAGUUUUAAAAAUGUACUAAAGAAAUCGUCGGUUAGUUUAUAUAAUCUGCGUUUUUCUUUUAUUAGGGCUAAACCCAGCCCAAACAAAGGAGGAAUGUCUAGCAAGUAUCCAAACAUGGGUUCGGGCCUCUGGGUUAAUGUUUGCUGGAUCUGGAUUCGGAUAUCCUAUAUAUCCCUAGUGAUAAUAAUUAAUAAGAGCCGCGGCUCUGAACAAAAUAUAAAACAAGGGCGGCCUUCUGCUUUUAGUUAACAAAGAAAAAACUCCGUAGAGAGAGAGAGAGAGAGAAUAGCGGUGCUGGAUCUAAGCGAUGUCGGAUCCUUACGAGAGGGCGAAGGGUGGAAGGUUAGCGUUUAAAGGAGGCGAUCUAGCCACCAUCAAAAAGAAGAAGAAGCAAUCGAAGAAGAAGAAGAAGGACAAGGAAAAGCUCGACGACGGCGCCGAUGUUGAGAAGAUGGACGCUCCAGCCACUUCCUCUGCUGCAGAUGGCAAAGACGAUAUCUACUCUAUCGACGCCGCGAAGAAGAGGAAGUACGACGAGCUUUUCCCCGUGGAGGCAAAGAAGUUCGGUUACGUUCCCAAAUCGAACUUCGAUUCGGUGGCGGAGGCUCUCGACGAUCGAGUCAAGAAGAAGGCCGACCGCUACUGUAAAUAGAAUCUUUUGCAUCUCCCUUUGUUUAAUUCCCUACUCUAUGCAUAAUUGUUAUCAUGUUUGAAGACUUUAUCCCUAUUUUGCUUCUGUUUGAGACUGGUUUAUUUGGAAUCCAAAUUAGUGGUAUUUGGUAUUCAUCCUUUGGGACAACUAGGUUUUGUGAAAUCUCUAGGUUUAGCAAGUAAAUAUUAAAGUGCUUUACAAACAACUCAUAUAUGUUUUAGUGUUAUGGUUCAAAUUUUUUGAAUCCAAUUUGUAAAUGGUUUUGCUUUUCGUUUCUUGGUAUUUUGUUUUCUUACAAGUCCUCAAUUGCUCAAUGCAUUUGCUUCCCUCUGCUAAAGGAUAUUACAGUGAGGCCACUGCAACGGAACUGCAGGAAGAAUCAGAGAGAUAAAUUCAGUUUAGUUAAGUUUAUAUUGUCUUUCUCCUUUAAGGUGAAAGGUCAGCCUGAGUUUAUAAUUAUUUUUCACACUACAUAUGUUCUUAGCAAAUGAUAGACACUUUAUUAUUUCUUGUGUUUCCCCUCAAAUAAUCAGUUUUUUAGCUCCUGUUACCUCGAGUAUUCCUCUGUCCUGCUUCUUCUGGUUCUGGACUAACCCUCUGAUACCUUGCUCUAGAAAGCCCCAUGUUCCAGAACUGCAUCCACCUAGGGCGCCUCCUCUCGGGAACGUCUUCUCUAAUAGGAUCACCCCUUUCCUGAGAAUCCGUAACGGUGGUGUUGACCGGAGGCAGAUCACGGCGGCAAAUUGGGCAUGAAUUGUGAAGCCUUAGCCAUGGAGUUAUACAGUUUUUAUGGUAAAUAUGUUUACAUGGUAGUUCGGUAGCUUCCCCUCCAGCAACGAAGUCCUCCAUGCACACCGUGCAUUGCGACAUGUCGUUGGUUAGAUGUUUCGAUGUAAUCGUUACGGUCGGUAGCGCGUCAAUGGUGGGUUCUGAUGCAGGUGGUGGUCCAGGCCUAUCGUCUUGUGUUAGCUGUUCGAUCAGCUGUUCUAAACCUGAUCCUCCAGUAAAGAAGUCAUGUGGGUUCAUACGCCUGGGAGGUAUUGGAUCAGUGGGCCGUAGUAUUACAUAUGUUCUUCUUGGUGGAGGUAAACUGCCAUUGUUACCAUUGUCAAGGCUGUGGCGUCGUCGAUGGUGCGGUAGGGGUGUUGUUGGCUCGUGUUCCACGUUUCUGGACCUUGCCCUGAGAAAUGGGUCUUCACCGAAUCUACCUAUUGUUGGAGGAUCAAACAUGAGGGACAGAGCUUCGAGAAGGCGUGUCUCAGGAGAAGCAUCAAACGGUGGAGCGGCGUGAGUGAAAGUCACCCGAGGCCGUCUCAUCUCGAUUUCCACAACAAAUUGCCUUAAGCAUCGAGGGCACGCGAUCUCUGAUGGGUUUGAUGAUGCAAUCCUGACCGUACGAUGACAGUGGUAGCACCAGUAGAGGCCAAAAGUCCUGAAUGCGCCAUUGGGUGCACCAUCGGUCCGUCUUAUUGGCACACUCAAUGACAUGAUUCGAAGAAGUAACUGUUAUACACCAGACAUAAAUACUUGCACAUUUAUAGAUAAUCUUUGAAGGUUGAAUGAAGCAAUUAAGCCAGGCAUAUUCCGUUCAUACAGAGGUCGUGUUUUGUCUGGAAGGCAAAGAAUGAGAAGGAUGAAGACGCAAUGCUCAUUUCUUCUGGUUUUUCUUAUUCUAUUUAGAUUGCCUCAAGUUAAAGGCUAGAAUCAUUUAUUAGAUCAAGUCAAUUAAAGAGAUUGGCCGUAUUGUUUAACUAGAGUAGAUAUAGAGGAAAAGAAACAAUCAUCAAGUUUAACAUAAAAUAUUAUUCUUUAGAGCAUCUCCGAAAAAACUUUAUAGCUUCAAAUACAGAGCUUGUUUCUAUCCAAAAACAAAUUUUAAAACUUUAAAUUUAGAUUUUUGAUUAGUGAAACUUCGUAUUUUUUUAGAUGCUCCAAGUUUAGAAUUUUAAAACUCUAUAAUAUUUUAAUAAUAGUUUUGUGACAAAAAAAUGAGUAGAAGUUUCACUACUCAAAACUCUAAAUUUGAAAUUUCAUCUUUUUAUUUGCAUUUUGGUCUUUAUAAUUAACUAGGGUCGGUCCGCCCUACGGGCGGGAAGUUAUAAUAAAGCAUACCCUUCUCAGGUAUACAUUAAAAACCCGACGCAACAUCAAGCUUUACCGGUCCACUGCUUUGAAGUUAGGUGCGAAGUGUGAAGAUGGCUCGUGUCCCUGGAGGGUGUAUUGUUCUUAUGAGAAGAGCAAACAGAAGCUGAUGAUCAAAUGUUAUGUGAAUGAGCACAAGUGUGAGAUAACAGGACACUCAAAGUUUUUGAAGUGUUCUACUAUAGCAAUGCUGUUCGCUGAGAGGCUGAGGUUGAAUCCCAAAAUCACCAAGCAUGAAAUUGCUUCUGAGAUCCAGAGAGAGUAUAGGAUGUUUGUGAGUGUGGAAGCUUGUGGGAAUGCGAAGACAAAGGUUAUGAAAGAAAGAAAAGCAAGCCACGAAGAACACUUCAACAAGAUAUGGGAUUAUCAAGCUGAGAUUUUUCGAACCAACCCUGGCACUACAAUGGAUAUCGAAACCAUCCCUGGACCGACAGUAGGAAGUAAACAGAGGUUUUUCCGGCUAUAUGUUUGCUUUCAUGCGCAGAAGGAGACUUGGAAGACUUCUUGUAGACCGAUAAUGGGUUUAGAUGGAGCAUUUCUAAAGUGGGACAUAAAGGGUCAUCUCUUGGCUGCUGUAGGACGUGAUGGAGACAAUCGGAUUGUUCCGAUUGCAUGGGCAGUAGUAGAAGUGGAGAAUGACACGAAUUGGGACUGGUUUGUGAGACACCUCGCAAAUGACUUGGGCUUAAAGGAUGGCAAAGGCUAUGCUAUAUUGUCUGACAAACAAAAGGUAAACGUCUGAUCUUGAUUUUUUAAAGCUUUUAGUGCUUAAAGCAUUACUGUAUCUUAGUGUUUUUAACUGUCUCAUGCUUGUAAUUGGCAGGGUUUAGUGAAAGCAGUCCACACCAUUCUUCCAGAGGUUGAGCAUAGACAGUGUUGUAGACACAUUUUCGAUAAUUGGAAGAAGAGCAGCCAUGACAUGCAGCUACAAAGACUCUUCUGGCGAAUAGCAAGGAGUUAUACAAUUGGAGAUUAUAAAAUGUGGAGUGAGAGGCUGAAAGAGUACAAUCCAGGCGCCUAUGCUACUCUUCAAGUCACCAAACCAGAAACUUGGUCCAGAGCAUAUUUCAAAUUAGGGACCUUGUGCAACGAUAAUCUCAAUAACCUAAGUGAGUCCUUCAACAGAACCAUCCGUGAAGCAAGAAGGAAGCCAUUAUUGGAGAUGUUAGAGGAUAUAAGGAGACAGUGUAUGGUUCGAAACUUCAGAAGGGCUGUAAUGGCUAAAAAUGCUAAGACAAAGUUCACAAAAAGGACGCAUCUUCAGAUGGCUAAAGUGGAGUCAAAGUCUAAGGAUUGUAUGAGCUUUCCAGCAGUUGGUCCAGUCACAGAGGUUGAUUAUGGUGGUGUGGCUUAUGCUGUGGAUAUGGAUGAGCUAAGUUGUGGGUGUAUCCAGUGGCAAAUGACUGGAAUUCCUUGCAUUCAUGCCGCCUAUGUGAUCCUUAAAGAUGGUAAAAAACUUUCUGACUUUGUAUCUCCUUGUUAUACCAUAGCUAUGUGGCGUCAAACCUAUAGUAUGGGGGUAAGGCCUGUUCAAGGGAAGAAGCUAUGGCCUGAGACUGGUAGAUUAGGUGUCCUCCCACCACCUUGGAGAAAAGGAAACCCGGGAAGACCAAAGAACCAUGAUAGGUUCAAGAGCAAGGGUGAGACAGAGAAGGGCCCGAAAGUCUCUACAACUGAUAGCACGAAACUAACUCGUGCUGAUCGAGUUAUUACAUGUUCUAAUUGCAAGCAAGAGCAUCAUAACAAGAAGACAUGUAAGAAUGACUUUGUUGAAAGUCAGCCCAAGAAACCACGAGGUCGCCCUAGGAAAAAUCAGGCAAGUUUCAAGAUGUUUUUGGUUUGUUUCUGAUCUUCUUAUGCUCACUUGAUUUUUUUUUUCAUUGUCAGUCUAAUGCAUCAUCGUCACAACCAAGCCAGGGACAGUCUCAUGCUUCAUCAUCACAACCAACCCAGCCACAAGUGUCAACACAGCCACAAGCCACACAUGCACCACUAAACUCAGAUGCGUCGGUAUGGGGUCGAUGGUUUUCGUGAUUUCGAAGUUAGAAGGGGCAGAAGCAGAAGAUAGUAUUUUCGGAUUUAGUGUUUUGAAGUUUUAGUGUUUUGACACUCAUGUUUCAGUUUUAGUGCUUUAACACUCAGGUUUCAGGUUUCUGUCUUGUGUAUCAGUAUUUUCGGAUCUAUUUUGUAGUGCUUUGACACUUAACUUAUGCUAUGUUUCAUCAAGCUUUAUUUAAGAUUGGUUUGUAUCUCAACCAACAACAACAACUUAGUUCAUUACUUCAAACAACAACAUAGUCAAUGAAACCAACAUAAUAGUCACUGAAUUAAGCCCCAAACAUAGUCAAGACCAAACAUUAAAAUUGUCACUUAAUCAAGUAAAUACAACAAGACACAAACACCAACAAUUUAGUUCUUCACCUCAAGCAAAUAACUAACUUAAUUCUACAUCAAACUAACUAGUAGGACAAUGAUGAUCACGCACAUGAUCACAAACAAGAUCGUCAUCAUCACCUUACACCUCUUCACCUCUGUUUUGGCUCUUACAACUUCUUCCAUCAACUCAGUGACCACGCCUUUCAAAUCUUCAAUAUCAGAUUUUUCUUUGUUAAGCUCAGCUUCAAGCAGUACAAUCUUUGGUAAGGCAUCUUGAACCUCUUCAUAAACAGCCUCCUCAACCCAUUUAAACAAGUGGUUCUAUGCAAAAACCAUAAGAUUUUAGGCAUAUUCCUUUAUAUUCAAUUUGAAUAAACGACAACAAUAUAAUCAAGAAGAUAAGAAGCUACCUUUCUUCUCGUAAGACAUCUGAAGAAAGGUCUCCCCGGAUUCUUGUUAGUCUCAGACGUGUAGAUUGUUGUCUUAGUCCCGCAAACACAGCUCGCCGGAAACCCGCGAAUACCGUAUGUGUUCACGGUUGAACUCUCAGCUGUCGAAUCCGAACUCAUCUUCGUGCUAAGGGAAGUCAAUCGUGUGAGAUUGGAGGAUUUUGAGUUGUAAUCGCAAUUUUUAGGGUUGGUGUGUCAAGAAAAUCCCCAAAUUGAUUUGGGGGAAAAUGAUAUUAGGGUUUCGGAUCUUAUUUUGAAGUUUAAGAUAAAAUGUUGUCGUAUUGACUAACUGUGCAAAUUAACAGGGUUAACAUGUUCCGUUAGUCUAAUUAACGUCGGGUCUAAUUUGAUCCAUUCAAAGAAAAGUUAGCUGGGUUUUUAAAGUCAAAAGAAAAAUUUAUUGUUUUUCAGGUCUUUCCAAAAGCUGGGGAUUAUAAUGGUCCAAAUGAAUCUUCCUAAACCUUUGUGAUCAGGUUCCGAUGUUUUGAAGAGCUGAUACUGCUCUCUCCAAGACUGGGAAAAGUUGUGAUCCAGGAAGCACAUUCGCUCGCUCCUGAAAGCUUGUGGGUUCUCCUGAUACCUCUGCCUUAGCACAUUAAUCCAAGCAUCUAUAUGCUGCAUAUUAAAUAUAACAAGUUAGAAGUUACAAGACGACUUAUCUUUAAGUAGACGACUUAAAUCGUGUGCAGAAGACUGACGCAGUCUUCCAGCCAUCCUCUGGCUGUCCGGAGGAAGUGGUACCACCUUGUUGGUGAUGUACGUGGUUUGUCCUUGGUGUUAGUUAAAUAAUGACUGCAAACAAAAAAGCAAUCAGUUUUGGACGACUAAAUCAAGCUAUUAUGGGUAAAGCAAUCACUUACGGAUCAGUUUUCAACCAAUCAGCGAGUUCCUUCAACUUAUCUCUGUUUACUGGCGGAAAUGGAUUAUAGGCUGCCACUUUAUCUUUUUUUUUCUCUGCCGUAUAAGGAGAUCUCACAGUGGGAGCAGGUUUCUUCGCUCGUUUACUCUUUGCACGCUUGUCCAAUACAACCAGGCUCGGUUCUGAAACUGGAUCGCUUGGCUCGGUGGAAGCGAGGCUCGGUUGUUGAUCGGUGGAAGCGAGGCUCGGUUGGUGAUCGGUGGAAGUGACAGCAACAAUCUCUUUGGAGGUGACACCAUCUGCUUUAUCCUCCGGCAAGAUCUUAUUUACCGAGUUCGCCUCGGUUGCUGUAUCCUCCGGCAACCAUCUCUGCAAUAAAAGUUGCACACAAGUUAACCCUGGACGACUUAAAUAAAAGUUGUCUGGACGACUAGUUGACCCUGGACGACUUAAAUAAAAAUCGUCUGGACGACUAGUUGACCCUGGACGACUUAAAAUUAAGUCUUCCGUGGUCAACUAGUCGUCCAGACAACUUACGUUUAAGUCGUCCAGGGUCAACUAGUCGUCCAGACAACUUUUACAGUCGUCUGGACAACUAGUUAACCCUGGAUUUGAUACUAACCUCUUUGAUUUGAGGAGGCUGUUUCUUUUGAGGAGGAGGCUGUUUCUUUUGAGGAGGAGGAGGAGGCUGUUUCUUUUGAGGAGGAGGAGGCUGCUGUUUGGUUUGAUGAGGAGGAGGCUGGUUACUAACCACGGUUUCAUUGGCAUGAGGGGUAGCCUGUUUGUUUCUACCCCCGGUUUCUUUGGCAAGAGGGGUAGGCUGUUUAUCUUGAGGGGUAGCCUGAUUGGUUAGAGGUGGAGGGGUAGCCUGAUUGGUGACACCAACCUUCUUCUCCACAGCUUCCAAUCUAUCGGACAACUUCCUAAACUCCCUCAUGCACUUAUUAAACCCUUUUUUCAUGCAGUCAGCUACGCCCUUGAACAUAAUUUCCAACUCCUCUCUGGUCACCCCUCUAGCCUCUUCUCUAGCCUCUUCACUAGCCUCUUCAGGAGCCUCUUUACGAGCUUUCUUCCGAGGUCUUGGAUUGUCUUCCUCCUCCUCCUCCUCCUCCUCCAACACAACCAUCUCUUUGGCCUUCUUCGAUGGAGUCACAACCUUAGGUUUUGUAUUGACCUUAGUACCAGUGACUUCCCAGCAAUCCAUGGUCCACUUCCACGGUCUCCGCUCAUACAUGACUUUAAUGAUGUUCUCCGCGGGCAGGUCCUCAACCUCAGAGUCCCAUUUUGGCCACAUUUCACUAAUGUCCUUCUCAACAAAGUUGAUCACGCGGGUCUGCAGUAAAUAGAAGAAUCGAGUUAGAUAUUUGAAAAAAAAUACUAAAUAGACGACUUAAUUAUAAGUCGUCUACUAAGUCGUCCAGCUGGAAGACCUUCCAGACGACUUAUAAUAAGUCGUCUAAUAAGUCGUCCAGAUGGAAGACUUUCCAGACGACUUAAUUAAGUCGUCCGAUAAGUCGUCCAGCUGGGAAGACUUUCCAGACGCCUUAUUAUAAGUCGUCUAAUAAGUCGUCCAGAUGGAAGACCUUCCAGACGACUUAUAAUAAGUCGUCUAAUAAGUCGUCCAGAUGGAAGACUUUCCAGACGACUUAAUUAAGUCGUCCGAUAAGUCGUCCAGCUGGGAAGACUUUCCAGACGCCUUAUUAUAAGUCGUCUAAUAAGUCGUCCAGAUGGAAGACUUUCCAGACGACUUAAUUAAGUCGUCCGAUAAGUCGUCCAGCUGGGAAGACUUUCCAGACGCCUUAUUAUAAGUCGUCUAAUAAGUCGUCCAGAUGGAAGACUUUCCAGACGACUUAAUUAAGUCGUCCGAUAAGUCGUCCAGCUGGGAAGACUUUCCAGACGCCUUAUUAUAAGUCGUCUAAUAAGUCGUCCAGAUGGAAGACUUUCCAGACGACUUAUAAUAAGUCGUCUAAUAAGUCGUCCAGAUGGAAGACUUUCCAGACGACUUAAUUAAGUCGUCCGAUAAGUCGUCCAGCUGGGAAGACUUUCCAGACGCCUUAUUAUAAGUCGUCUAAUAAGUCGUCCAGAUGGAAGACCUUCCAGACGACUUAUAAUAAGUCGUCUAAUAAGUCGUCCAGAUGGAAGACUUUCCAGACGACUUAAUUAAGUCGUCCGAUAAGUCGUCCAGCUGGGAAGACUUUCCAGACGCCUUAUUAUAAGUCGUCUAAUAAGUCGUCCAGAUGGAAGACCUUCCAGACGACUUAUAAUAAGUCGUCUAAUAAGUCGUCCAGAUGGAAGACUUUCCAGACGACUUAAUUAAGUCGUCCGAUAAGUCGUCCAGCUGGGAAGACUUUCCAGACGCCUUAUUAUAAGUCGUCUAAUAAGUCGUCCAGAUGGAAGACCUUCCAGACGACUUAUAAUAAGUCGUCUAAUAAGUCGUCCAGAUGGAAGACUUUCCAGACGACUUAAUUAAGUCGUCCGAUAAGUCGUCCAGCUGGGAAGACUUUCCAGACGCCUUAUUAUAAGUCGUCUAAUAAGUCGUCCAGAUGGAAGACCUUCCAGACGACUUAUAAUAAGUCGUCUAAUAAGUCGUCCAGAUGGAAGACUUUCCAGACGACUUAAUUAAGUCGUCCGAUAAGUCGUCCAGCUGGGAAGACUUUCCAGACGCCUUAUUAUAAGUCGUCUAAUAAGUCGUCCAGAUGGAAGACCUUCCAGACGACUUAUAAUAAGUCGUCUAAUAAGUCGUCCAGAUGGAAGACUUUCCAGACGACUUAAUUAAGUCGUCCGAUAAGUCGUCCAGCUGGGAAGACUUUCCAGACGCCUUAUUAUAAGUCGUCUAAUAAGUCGUCCAGAUGGAAGACUUUCCAGACGACUUAAUUAAGUCGUCCGAUAAGUCGUCCAGCUGGGAAGACUUUCCAGACGACUUAUUAUAAGUCGUCCGAUAAGUCGUCAAGCUGGACGACCUUCCAGACGACUUAUAAUAAGUCGUCUGCGCAGUCUUUUGGAUUGAAGUAAAUACCUGACUCAAGAUAGCAGCUUUCAUUGAUCUGCGGCCUCUGCUGCCCUCGUAAGCCAGUAUCGGUGGAGACGGACUGUCUGCUCUGGGACCACCAAUACUAGCACCCAAUUCCGGCAUAGCUGUGUACGUCCAGACCUGAAGAACUUGUAUAAACCCAUCCACGGUGUAACAGCCAGCAAUUUCUUUGUUCCACAAAGAGUCCAUCAGCACCUUAAACGCGACUCUCCCCCAUGGAUAAUUCUCAAACCGUUCUAAAUCCAUCACUAGCCUUGCCAGAGUAGAUCGUGUAGCGGUUGAAAACUUUCUCCCUUCAAUGAAUCCAGUGAAGAUGGAGAGGUACGCGAGCCGCUUGCGAUCUUCCCUGGACCAAUCCCCGCAUCUCUUCAGUGCUGCUAUUAUCUGAUCAGUAGUUGGCCCAGCUUCCAGAUGAACUCCCAGCAUCCCCCAGAAAGAAACCAUCUCUGGGGUAACGUCACAUUUUGGUGUCUCAAGGUCCUCGAUGUACUCGCAGUUUAGACCAGUGAGGUUUUCAAACUCUAACAGUGAAAACCUCAAAGGUUCUGGACCAACGAGAGACCACAUCUCAUACUUCUUCUUAAUGUCCAGCUUGAAACUGAGCAUGUAGUGAACCAGCCUUGAAGCCCAACCAAAUCCCUGCUCCUUGAACUUGAUGAAAACUCCCAAACUCGACUCCUUGAGCUCUUCAAAUUCGUCAUCAGUAAGAGCUUUCCUAAGAGCAGUAUGCAACUUGCUGUUAUCCGUAUGAUACGAAAUGCUAUUGUGGGCUUCUGGCUCUUCCCCUGAUGUGUAUAACCUACGGGGGAGUUCUGGAAUAUCCAUCCUUUUUGUCUGCAAAAUAAUCAAAGACAACAAUAUAAGUCCAGACGACUUAGUAGACGACUUAUAAUUAAGUCGUCUGGAAAGUCUUCCAAAUGGACGACUUAUAUUUAAGUCAUCUACUAAGUCGUCCAGUUGGAAGACUUUCCAGACGACUUAAAUUACUUACAAGUCUUCCAGUCGCAGAAGGAGUUGGAGUACUCGUCAUUGCGGUUAUAGAUCUGAAAAAAUAAACGUGAAACGGUGAGAAUGAGUAAAUUGAUAGAGACAACGUUUUAUGUUCAUCUUUUCCUCGAGAUUGAUGACUUAGCGGCGUUAGGGUUUACAGAGAAACGGCGCUAAGGUUUACAGAGAAGAAGCGGCGGCGCUAGGGUUUAGAAGAAGCGGCGGCGCUAGUGUUUAGAGGAAGCGGCGGUGAGAACGUUGGUGACCACGGUGGCGAGGGCGACGGUUUGUUCGGAAAUAGUGGAAGCGGCGGCGCUAGGGUUUAGAGGAAUCGGCGGCGCUAGGGUUUAGAGGAAUCGGCGGCGCUAGGGUUAGAAGAAGCUGCGGCGACAACGGUGAGAAUGAAGUGAGAUAGAUAGCCGACGUUGAGAACGAUGGUUUGUUCGGAAAUCGUGGGAAUUCGAAAUCGCCUUUGAGAGAGAACUGUUAGGGUUUCUGAAUUUCGCGAAAAAUGAAACAAAAAAAAUAAAAAUCACCUUAUAUAUUGGGUAAAUAAUCCGGUUAGCUUUAAAAGUACAUUGGUAAACUUUAAGGUUUGGUCCGGUUUAGACGACUUAUUCUGGCUGAUAAUGUACAACAGACGACUUAAUAUUUAGUCGUCUGUUUUCAGACGACAAAAUAUUAAGUCGUCCUAGACCCUAAAAUGAACCCCUAAACUAAAAUGACUAGAUUAACUAACUAACCACGUUAUAAAAUCAAAUUAUACUUAAAUAGUGUUUACUAUACACAGAAAUGAACACGCAUAAGUAAUUUUAAAAAUUUUCAAAAACGGUUUUAAUGCUUUCCAAAAUCUAACCCUAAGAACACAUACAAUACUACAACAUAUGUUGAUGAAACAUAAACUAAAGAAUAUCAUGACUCACUACUUUCACUCAUCUAUGCUGAAAACAAUUGAAAUUUGUUAUAUCUUAAUUUAUACCUCCUAAGACAUAUGUUAAUUACAUAAUUCCCAUUUUUCACUUAUCAAAAUAUUUUUUACAAAAUUUUUAAAUUAUGUUUAAGACUAACUGUCCAGACGACUUUCAGUUAAGUCGUCUGGACGACUUAUUUUCAAGUCGUCUAAACAGACGACUUGCGAGGGGUAGAAACGUAAAAAAAAUUCCGUUUUCUUGUUUGGUCACAAGGGGAUAGUUGUAAUUUCAAUAGCCUUUUAGGUUACUUUUGCCUUUGACCCAAGUUGGGGUAUUGUUUUGGGUUUGACUCCAAGUUUUGCGUCACACUUGGCAAUUCUCCCUAAUAAAUAUCAUUAUAUUUUUAAUAUUUAUUUUAGUUUCAAAUGUUUAGUUUUGUAAUAUUCUUCAUUAAACUAACUGAUUAAAGGUUUUUUUUUGCAAAUAUGAUUCAAAUCUUCAAAUCAUUCCUCAAGUAAUUCAUGCUUUUUUAGAAUUUUCUUUGUGCUUUACAGGUGAUGUAACUGUAUAUUUCUUUGUGUGUGUGUUUUGUAAACUUUUGAUAAGAGAAGUAUAUAAUAAUGUUUAUAGUUUUUGAGAAUGUUAGGGUGUUAAGGAUUAUGUAUGUUAAGAUUAGUUAUAUUUGAGUUCGAUAGAUUACAACAUAUAACAUAUUAUAUUGAGUGAAUGAGGUGUACGUGGUGCUCUCCUUGUAUGGUUUUUGAUAAUUUUGAAUCCAAAAUUGGUUGGUUAAUUAUGGUUUACUAUAUUAAAUUUUUUUAAGAUAAGUUCGUGGUUCUCAUGAUUAUCAUUUGUAUGAAUGGAUUGGGAUCAACAUGAUUGCAUUGCGUUACAGUAUAUGUUAGGCUAGAAAUAAUAUUUAAGAAAUGAGUAAAAUAGUGAAAGUAUAAGUCUAAUUAUUUAUAUUCUAAAUUAACACUUAAAUAUAUAAAUAUAAAAUUCUGUUUCAAACAUUUUAAUUCGUUUAAGGUCGUUGCAUAGGUGUAAAGAAUAUAUAUCUUUGAUGCAUAUGUAAUUUACGUCUUUAUAUCUUUGAUGCAUAUGUAAUUUACAUCUUUGUUUACUAUUACGUAAUUAGUUUAGUUUUAUUUUUUAUUUUUCUAUUAGUUUCUUAAUUUUUAAUUGAAUAUUUUGUAGUUCUUUGUAAAUGAAUAAAAUUAUUUUAGUUUGUUUGUGCUGAGUUCAAGUGAUUUAAUUUAGAAAAAAAAAUCUUUAUAUUUUUUUUAUUUUUCGAUUAGUUUCUUAAUUUUAUAGUUUUAGUUGAAUAUUUUGUAGUUCUUUGUAAAUGAAUAAAAUUAUUCUAGUUUGUUUGUGCUAAGUUUAAGUGAUUUAAUUUAGUAACUUUUUUUCUUUAUAUAUAGAUAUAUAUAAAAGGAUGACAAAAAAAAACAUAGAUAUAUAUAAAAAUUACUUCAUUAUACAUUGUAUUAUAUUUAAAAUAUGUUUUUUGAAGAGUGUCAAUAUUUAUAAUAUUUUGUUUAAUUUAUUUAUAUAGAUGAAAAAAAAAUUUCUAUUGUAGCAUGAAAUUUAUGAUAUUGUAAAAUGGAAAAAAUGUUAAAUAAAUCCUCAGCUUUUUCAUUUGGACCAUUAUAAUCCACAGAUUUCUAACUGACCAUUGACCAUAAAAACCUCAAACUUUUUGUCGAUUGGAUCAAUUUAAACCCGGCGUUAAGUUCACUAACAAAGCGUCUAAACGCAGUUAAUUUUCGUCGUUAAACAAAACGACGUCGUCUUCUCUUCAAUUAAAAAAACACAUCUUCCUCAUUAUCUCUCAAAAUCGAUUUGGGGGUUUUCUCAAUUAAGAACCCUAAUUUCACGAUUUCGCCAGAAAGAAGAAGAGAGAAGAUGGGUAAUGAAAAGAACAAGAAGUCUCGACAAGGGAAACUCGGUGGUGCCAGUUCUGUAGUGAAAAGAAAAGGUGGAGUCGGCGACGAAGCUGAUGUACGUAAGAAGAAAAAAAGCAAAACAGAUGUACUCGACAGGGAAGAAGAAGGAGAAAUCAGCGAGGAUGACUGUGGUGUUGUCGGUGACGACGAAGCUGAUGAAGCCCCAGACAACGAAGAAGUCCCAAACAACGAAGAAGUCCCUGAUGAAGCAAACGGUCAUGGUGGUAUCGAGGAAGAAACUGGUCGCGAUUUGACUGUCUUCUUCGGCGAAGUAGCGAGGAAUGAUGAUUCUGAGAAUGAUGAAGAUAGUGGGGACGAAUGGUAUUGGGAGCAUGAAAAAGAAGUUCCGGAUCCUCUAUCAUCAGAUGAUGAAAAUGAAGAACAAUCGAUUCCCAGUUUAGCCUACAGAGAAGAUGUGGAUCCAGAGGCAAUGCUUGGGCUGGGAAACACUUUCUCCACUGCUGAAGAAUUCAAGCAUACCCUUCUCAGGUAUACAUUAAAAACCCGACGCAACAUCAAGCUUUACCGGUCCACUGCUUUGAAGUUAGGUGCGAAGUGUGAAGAUGGCUCGUGUCCCUGGAGGGUGUAUUGUUCUUAUGAGAAGAGCAAACAGAAGCUGAUGAUCAAAUGUUAUGUGAAUGAGCACAAGUGUGAGAUAACAGGACACUCAAAGUUUUUGAAGUGUUCUACUAUAGCAAUGCUGUUCGCUGAGAGGCUGAGGUUGAAUCCCAAAAUCACCAAGCAUGAAAUUGCUUCUGAGAUCCAGAGAGAGUAUAGGAUGUUUGUGAGUGUGGAAGCUUGUGGGAAUGCGAAGACAAAGGUUAUGAAAGAAAGAAAAGCAAGCCACGAAGAACACUUCAACAAGAUAUGGGAUUAUCAAGCUGAGAUUUUUCGAACCAACCCUGGCACUACAAUGGAUAUCGAAACCAUCCCUGGACCGACAGUAGAAAGUAAACAGAGGUUUUUCCGGCUAUAUGUUUGCUUUCAUGCGCAGAAGGAGACUUGGAAGACUUCUUGUAGACCGAUAAUGGGUUUAGAUGGAGCAUUUCUAAAGUGGGACAUAAAGGGUCAUCUCUUGGCUGCUGUAGGACGUGAUGGAGACAAUCGGAUUGUUCCGAUUGCAUGGGCAGUAGUAGAAGUGGAGAAUGACACGAAUUGGGACUGGUUUGUGAGACACCUCGCAAAUGACUUGGGCUUAAAGGAUGGCAAAGGCUAUGCUAUAUUAUCUGACAAACAAAAGGUAAACGUCUGAUCUUGAUUUUUUAAAGCUUUUAGUGCUUAAAGCAUUACUGUAUCUUAGUGUUUUUAACUGUCUCAUGCUUGUAAUUGGCAGGGUUUAGUGAAAGCAGUCCACACCAUUCUUCCAGAGGUUGAGCAUAGACAGUGUUGUAGACACAUUUUCGAUAAUUGGAAGAAGAGCAGCCAUGACAUGCAGCUACAAAGACUCUUCUGGCGAAUAGCAAGGAGUUAUACAAUUGGAGAUUAUAAAAUGUGGAGUGAGAGGCUGAAAGAGUACAAUCCAGGCGCCUAUGCUACUCUUCAAGUCACCAAACCAGAAACUUGGUCCAGAGCAUAUUUCAAAUUAGGGACCUUGUGCAACGAUAAUCUCAAUAACCUAAGUGAGUCCUUCAACAGAACCAUCCGUGAAGCAAGAAGGAAGCCAUUAUUGGAGAUGUUAGAGGAUAUAAGGAGACAGUGUAUGGUUCGAAACUUCAGAAGGGCUGUAAUGGCUAAAAAUGCUAAGACAAAGUUCACAAAAAGGACGCAUCUUCAGAUGGCUAAAGUGGAGUCAAAGUCUAAGGAUUGUAUGAGCUUUCCAGCAGUUGGUCCAGUCACAGAGGUUGAUUAUGGUGGUGUGGCUUAUGCUGUGGAUAUGGAUGAGCUAAGUUGUGGGUGUAUCCAGUGGCAAAUGACUGGAAUUCCUUGCAUUCAUGCCGCCUAUGUGAUCCUUAAAGAUGGUAAAAAACUUUCUGACUUUGUAUCUCCUUGUUAUACCAUAGCUAUGUGGCGUCAAACCUAUAGUAUGGGGGUAAGGCCUGUUCAAGGGAAGAAGCUAUGGCCUGAGACGGGUAGAUUAGGUGUCCUCCCACCACCUUGGAGAAAAGGAAACCCGGGAAGACCAAAGAACCAUGAUAGGUUCAAGAGCAAGGGUGAGACAGAGAAGGGCCCGAAAGUCUCUACAACUGAUAGCACGAAGCUAACUCGUGCUGAUCGAGUUAUUACAUGUUCUAAUUGCAAGCAAGAGCAUCAUAACAAGAAGACAUGUAAGAAUGAGUUUGUUGAAAGUCAGCCCAAGAAACCACGAGGGCGCCCUAGGAAAAAUCAGGCAAGUUUCAAGAUGUUUUUGGUUUGUUUCUGAUCUUCUUAUGCUCACUUGAUUUUUUUUUUCAUUGUCAGUCUAAUGCAUCAUCGUCACAACCAAGCCAGGGACAGUCUCAUGCUUCAUCAUCACAACCAACCCAGCCACAAGUGUCAACACAGCCACGAGGGGAAUCAACACAGCCACAAGAGUCAGGGAGAUGGGAACAAGCCACACAUGCACCACCAAACUCAGAUGCGUCGGUAUGGGGUCGAUGGUUUUCGUGAUUUCGAAGUUGGAAGGGGCAGAAGCAGAAGAUAGUAUUUUCGGAUUUAGUGUUUUGAAGUUUUAGUGUUUUGACACUCAUGUUUCAGUUUUAGUGCUUUAACACUCAGGUUUCAGGUUUCUGUCUUGUGUAUCAGUAUUUUCGGAUCUAUUUUGUAGUGCUUUGACACUUAUGCUAUGUUUCAUCAAGCUUUAUUUAAGAUUGGUUUGUAUCUCAACCAACAACAACAACUUAGUUCAUUACUUCAAACAACAACAUAGUCAAUGAAACCAACAUAAUAGUCACUGAAUUAAGCCCCAAACAUAGUCAAGACCAAACAUCAAGCAAAUAACUAACUUAAUUCUACAUCAAACUAACUAGUAGGACAAUGAUGAUCACGCACAUGAUCACAAACAAGAUCGUCAUCAUCACCUUACACCUCUUCACCUCUGUUUUGGCUCUUACAACCUCUUCCAUCAACUCAGUGACCACGCCUUUCAAAUCCUCAAUAUCAGAUUUUUCUUUGUUAAGCUCAGCUUCAAGCAGUACAAUCUUUGGUAAGGCAUCUUGAACCUCUUCAUAAACAGCCUCCUCAACCCAUUUAAACAAGUGGUUCUAUGCAAAAACCAUAAGAUUUUAGGCAUAUUGCUUUAUAUUCAAUUUGAAUAAACGACAACAAUAUAAUCAAGAAGAUAAGAAGCUACCUUUCUUCUCGUAAGACAUCUGAAGAAAGGUCUCCCCGGAUUCUUGUUAGUCUCAGACGUGUAGAUUGUUGUCUUAGUCCCGCAAACACAGCUCGCCGGAAACCCCCGAAUACCGUAUGUGUUCACGGUUGAACUCUCAGCUGUCGAAUCCGAACUCAUCUUCGUGCUAAGGGAAGUCAAUCGUGUGAGAUUGGAGGAUUUUGAGUUGUAAUCGCAAUUUUUAGGGUUGGUGUGUCAAGAAAAUCCCCAAAUCGAUUUGGGGGAAAAUGAUAUUAGGGUUUCGGAUCUUAUUUUGAAGUUUAAGAUAAAAUGUUGUCGUAUUGGCUAACUGUGCAAAUUAACAGGGUUAACAUGUUCCGUUAGUCUAAUUAACGUCGGGUCUAAUUUGAUCCAGUCAAAGAAAAGUUAGCUGGGUUUUUUAAAGUCAAAGAAAAAUUUAUUGUUUUUCAGGUCUUUCCGAAAGCUGGGGAUUAUAAUGGUCCAAAUGAAAAAGCCAAGGAUUUGUUUAACAUUUUUCCCAUUGUAAAAUGGGUUUUGUAAACAAAAAAUGGGUAACACCAUUCACAAUAUGAUAAAAAAAAGUAACUAAAGGUUAUUUCUUUUAUUAUUUUGGGUAACAUUUUUUAUGAUUCAUGUAGUUAAUUCUGUUAAUUAAUGCAUUCAUGUGCUUCGAUUAGGCCUGGGACUUUUAUCCGAGAUCCGGAUUCGAUCCGAGAUUCGAUCCGGAUCCGAUCCGAAAAUCCGGAUAUCCGGAGGGGCCGAAUCCGGAUCCGGAUAGUAAAAUGUUGGAUCCGUCAAAGCCGGAUCCGGAUCCGGAUAUCCGCCGGAUAUUACACUUUUUAGGAGGAUAUCCGACACCCGGAUAUCCGAGAACCCCGGAUCCGGAUAAGGAUAGUAAAAUUAUGGAUCCGCCGGAUAAGGAUCCGGAUCCGGAUACCUUAAAAUUGCCCGGAUAUCCGAUCCGUCCCAGACCUAGCUUCGAUGAAUAUAAUUUUCAUAAGAAAUGGUCCUUCAUUCUUUCAUUCAAAACAAAUUUGAGGCAAAUCUAGUAGUCUAUUCCAUAUAUUUAACGAUCAAGCUCUCAUGACUGAAUUCAUUUAAAGUUCAUGAAAAUAACCAUGACCUUUUAUCUGUACAUUGAUAUAACAAAUAAUAGCGACAAAAAGGAUUAGAGAUUUCCGUGCAAGUGAGCAUGAUGGACAAAGAUAUAAUCAGUGCAAGAGGUUCAAACCAUGUACCCAUAAACUGAUUGUAUCAUUCAUCAAAAAUCUGAGACAGUCUCUGUAUACUCUUCUGAAUUUAAAUAUACAUGCAGUGCAUUGAGAAUCUAAUGACCACGAUUUUGUUGCUUUUCAUGCUCGUAACUAACAGACUAUUAUUUGAGCAUGUUACUUACUGAGAAAGCAUUGCCCAGCACCGGUUUCAUAGUCAAACUCUGCAAACAUAUAAACCUGAGCAUCAAAUUGAGAAUGUCUCUGCCACCGCCACCAUCAGCUCUACUCCAGAGAGGUUAGUUUGUGUUAAAAAGCCUAAGCAAUUCUUCCAUCACAGUAAAAGCAAUGUCGUUCAUAAGAGGCUUGUCCAUGUCUGAUAUAGUAGCCAAGUUAUUAGGCUGAGAAUGCAUAGAACUCGCUGGAAGAAGAUCAAAAUCCAGUGAAGGACCAAUCAUGGACAGAUCCAACGGUGAGAUGCGCAUUGGGUGUAGCGUUGCGAGGUGGGAGGAGAUUGGUCUUCCCAUGUACUUUGAUGCAACCGUUGACAUUCUUUCAAGCUGUGAAAUAAAGAUCAGAUUUAGAAAUUAGGAAGGGGGUUGAAUGAUUAAACCAUAAUGGAUAAACAAAACCUCGUCUCUAAGAUGUACAUUUUCGAUCCGGAGCUUACGCUCAUCGAAGUAAGGAUCUUCACUAACGGGAGGACAUCCACAGUUAGGGUAUAUAGCAUGCUUGAGUGCUUCUCUUAUGGCUAUGUUCUCACAUCGAAUCUUGUCGUUCUCUGCCUAUAGUGCAUUGUUAUCUGCUCUCUCAUGUUGCGCCUACAGAAACAGUAUCAACAAAUCUUAUUCAGACAACAUUUUAAACACACAAAAGAGGGAGAGAUUAAGACACAUAACCUUAAGCUGAGUUCUGCUGUUGUGGAACAGAACUUGAUUUGUCUUGGAGAGCCAAACCCAAUUCUCUGCUAAGUUGGUUCCUCUGCUUAUCAUCUGGAUGAUAACACUCCUUUAAACUCCUGCAAGAGAUUCAAACCAUUAUAAACACUAUGAUUAAGAGCUUUAAGAUCUGAGAAACCUCAAACGUUUCAAAAAGAGCAUUCAAAGAUUUUAACAAAAAUCGAAAUAUAAAAUUUGAUUAUGAGAUAAAUAAAAAUUUUGAUAAUUGGUCGCCGGAAUAGUUAAAAACAAUAUGGUUAUGAGAUUUAAGAUCUGACAAACCUAAGCAUCAAGGAGGAGCAUGUCCACCCCCAUCAACUCGCCACCACGGUUGACGCCAGAAUCUCAACAAAGAACGGGACCUCCACGGUGGAAGAACAUUGAAUAUGGUGAUGAGCAUCGAAGGAAUUAAGAUGUAUCUUAAAGGCGAUGAAUGUGGCUUCGAAACGGCUGUGAGUAAGGAAUAAACACGAAACGACUGAAAGGAAGUGUAAGCCUGAAACACGACGAUUCGUCUCUCUAGACUUUUAGAAUCUCCGUUGUUGAUACAGAUCGAGGAAGACGAUUAAAACCUAAUUUCCAAUAUCGACUCUAGCAGAAAAGACUCUAUCUAGCUAUUGGGCUGAAUACUCAAUUUUCUGAAGAGAAUAAUACUAACAGCCCAGCCCAUAAUAAAAACAAAUUAAAAUCAAAACGAAAACGAAACAAAUCUCACAAGGGAAAAGGACAUGUGUCAAGCCCUGGUUCUUCUAGUUAAUGACGUGUCUUCAUAGGAGAGACACAAACAUUUCUUUAUAUACAUAUAAGAUUAUACUUCACAUUUAUUAUUUUUAAGUAUUUUCUCUUUCAUAUUUUUAAUCUUUAAAACUUUUAUAUAUUUUAAAUAUUUCAAAUUAUAUUUAUAAAAUUUAAAUUUUACACUUAAAAAAAAUUAAACUAAGAUUUAUAAUAUUUUAAAAGUAGAAUUAGACAACAAGAAUAUUUCAAAAGAAAUUUAAUAGAAUUUUUUUUAUGAAGAUACAUGACCAUGAUUAUUACACAAAUUUAAAUAUUACAACAAUACUAAUAGUCUAGUAAAUUUUCUCCGGAACUUCUAAAAUAUUGUCCAAACAAAUUUUGUGUAACCGAAAAUAGAGCAUUAAAAAAAUAAUUUUAUGUAAUAAUAUGGUAUUUUUCUUGUAUUUUAAUAUUUAAUUAUGUAUUUCUAUUUAUAAUUUUAUAUUUUUUGUUGUAAGAUUUUAUUAAUUAAAAUUACUAUAAUAUUAUUAUAUAUAUGCUGGCUAACUAUAAAAGUUUUAUGGAUUUAUAUUAAUUAUGACAAAUAUAAGGAGUAUAGUAUAAUUUACAAAUAAUUUUAAAGUUAAAUUUGAAGUUUUGCUUUUGGAGAAGAACACCUUCAAACUUCAAAUAUAGAGUUUGCAAAACUAUAUAAUAAAGAAUCUUUUUGGAGAUACACUUAGAACACGAAGCAUGAGAUGUCGGUGACAACGCAAUGCUCAUUUCAUUUGGUUUUUCUGUCCUUGCCUCAAUUGGUUACUGUUACAGAUGUUAAUAAAUGAGUAAAUUACCAAUAGGAUACCCUAAGUUUUUCUAAACUUUCAAACCCAAAACUUACUGUAUUUGACUAAAAGCAUUUCUAAGAGCAAUUUUACUUUUAAAGUUUGGUGAACUUUAAAUUUGAGGUUUAAUGGUGACUUUCACCCAUGAUAAAACUUUAAAUAUUUUUUUUAAAGAAAUUAUUUGCAAUUAUAGUCCUUAAGAUUGUUUGAAGUUAAUAAGAAUUACAAAACUAUAAAUAAUAAAACAUAUAUGAAAAAGUAUUACAAGCAAUAUUUGUCUCACAUCGACAAGCUCGACGCAACAGUAUGACGCAACAAUAUAAUACUAGCUGAUAUCUUUAUGGACGCUUUCUCCGGAUAAAACUAAAUACUCAAGUAUCCAGACGAUCAUGAGAAAACGUUCUUUAUGAUGUCAGAAGGCAAUUUAUUACUGCAAGGUUAUGAAUUUUCGCUUAAAGAAUGCCGGCUCCACUUAUUAUAAACUGAUAAACAUGAUCGUUUGCAUAACAUACCAGACAGAGCAUAGAAGUUUACAUGCACGAUAUGCUCGUCAACUUUCUGGAAGUAGAAGAUCAUAUAGGCCACCUACAUCAAGCAUUCUCAACCCUGAGAAAAAAAAAACAGUAUGAAGCUCAAUUCCUCCAAGUGAUCUUCCAAUCUCUCUUACUCUGUCAUAAACUCGUCACUUCCUUGGCUUGUCCAUAAUCAGAUCACUAAUCUUCUGGCUCUCUGGAUUUAAGGUUUUACCCAUGAUACAGAUCUUGUUCCUUUUGCUCUGCAUUAGGGCAUUGUCUGGUAGGUUAAAAGGAAUUCCCUUCGCCUGCAAUGACAUUGCGUCAAUCACCUUAUCAGUAUUUAUACUUGUUCUGAAGAAAUUCCAAAAAACAUUUUCUUCAAAAAGGUAUAGAACGGCUACAUCAAAAUCAUAGAAAAACCAAUAGAAAUAGUAUAUAAUAUAUUUUUCCAAAUAUAGCGGUUCCAUGUUUUUGACACUCAGAAAAUAGAAAACAAAUUCUCAACCGUAAACACUGUUUUUCAUAAAGAUAAUAUAUUUGUUAAGAAAAAAAUGAAAACCUAAGCUAAAAAAGCCAAAUUACACACUUUUGAAUAGUUUAUUAUUGCGUGCAUUUGAAAUAAACUAAAUUAUAUAUAAAUAAGAGCAUCUCUACAAAUUUAAAAAAAUGUAGGACAAGAUGGUUUGACCGGUGGAAGCGUCUUAUUCCAGUAAUUUGACUAAUGAUUCAUUAACGUUUUUCCACCGGUAUAUCCAAAUUUCAAUUCCCAAAAAAAUAAUUUGUUAAACAACUAAAGAAAAAAAAGUUAAAAAGAGAUCUUCAAAAUUUUGCAAGUAAACUCGACCAUGUGUGAAUUUUUAUAGAAUGACUCAGGUGAAACAAUUAGACAUAGAUUUUCAUCAAACAUAUAACAUUGUCGGUUGUACAAUGAAUGCAGCUUUUGCGGUUGGUAGCGGUUGUUGGCGUUUUGCAACAAUCACUCAAACCGCUUCAAACCGUUUUAAACCUCAUAAUUCAAUAGCUGGUUCCCGCUAGCGUUUGCGGUUGCGGGAGAAUAUUUUUUUCUUUUUAAAAUAAUAUAAAUACAAAAAUAAAAAUAUUCAAUAAAAAAUUUAAAUUGGAAUUAUAAAAAGAAUAAAAUAUAUCUAUACAUUUCAAUUAAUAUUAUAAAAAAAUAAAUAAUUUAUUUUAUAAUUUUAAGACGUUUAAAACUAUAACUUUCUAAAUAUAAUUUUUAUAUUUAUUAUAAUAUUAUGAUUAUAUUUUUAUAAUUAUAAAAAAUAUAAAUAUUGUUAAUUUAUUAUUUAACCGCUGCUGCAUUUGGUAGUUAACCAGACAUAACUAUCCUGCAAACGUGCCAAUUUUUAACCACAAAACCAAUCAUACAAAUCUCUUAAAACCGCUAGAAACCGCAACCACCCGCAUUCGCAAAUUUCCACGACCGCAACCGCUGUGUUUGAACCAGUCAGACCCUAGACGUGAUGGAGUAAGCUAUAACAGUUUUUUUGUUGUUGAGAAUUUACCAAAUAAAUGGAUAUUUUAGUGAGUCAGGUUAUUCAUAUUGGUGAGAAUUAAUAUUAAUGUUUGUGUUUAGUAUGAAAAGGGUGAAAAGUAAUUAUUUUUAUAUAUUAAAGAUCUAAAAUUAUUAUAAAAUAUACUAUAACUAUUUUAUUAUUAUAUAUUUAGUAAAACCAUAUACUGUAUAGAUUUAAAUGAUAAAUAUUAUAUACGACCAUAAUAUAUUUAGUAAUAGAACAAUGAAGAAGGUAAAUACAGUAUGCAGUGUAUCUAACAAUACAAGAAAAACUCCAUAAAUUAAUAAUGUUAAUAUUAUGAUAUUUUAUUAAUUUAUAGAGUUAUUAAUAUAUAUAUUUAUUGAUUUAUAAAACUUUCCUUUCUAGAUUUUACUGUUUAUAUAUUAAUUAAAUUUUAGAAAAUCGAUUUUUUUCUAUUGUCUAAAUUUUUAUAGAUAUAUUUUUACUAAAUAUUAUCAAAAGUAUAUUGAAGGUUAAGAAAAAAUAGAGAUGAAUUCUAUUGUUAAUAUAAAUUAAACAAUAUUAUCUUUUGUUUGUAUUUAUAUGAAAUAUAUAUAUAUAUAUAUAUAUAAAAUAUUAAUUUAUGAUUUUAUAGGACCAUAUAUUUACAUAAGAUUUUUUUAAAAAAUAUUAUCUUAUUAUUUUAUUGAUUUGUAUCAUAUUUUGAAUCAUCUCAAUUCGGGAUUGAAAAAAUUAUUAAUUUACUGCGUUUAUUAAUUUAUAGAGUUUCUACUGUAUUAGUUUUUUUGUACCAAUUUCACUUUUUCAUUAAACAGUUUAACAACCAUUUUUAAUUUCAAACGGCUGAUCUAGUACUUAAAAUUAAGGUGGUUUAGGUAACUAUACAAAAUAUAAGAACCAAUAAAAUACAAAUAUCUGUGAUAUUUUCUUGCUAUCUUAGCUAAUGAGUCUGCUUAUUUGUUUUAAGAAAAAGGAUGAUAAACAAUAAACAAGUCUACAAAAAUCUACUCUUCAAUCUUGAAAAUUUUUUUAUCUCCAUUGAAAAGUUUGGCCCUGCUUAUAAAUCUUGUAUCAUCGAAACGAGGUCCUUGCAAUUUGUACUAAAGUGUUGGCACAACAACAUUUGUAACAUGCAUUCGAUAGCCCAAGAAAUGGCCAUAAGCUCUAAAUGUAUCGGUAACACACUUCUCGUCUGAUUUUUAGCUCCUCAAAGUUGAUUUUUUCAUGUCGAAUUUGUCUAAGCCCAUACAAAACCAAUAAAGAGUUAUUCAUGAGUCCAUGAUUUAUAGACCAUACAAAUUUCAUGUAAGCUUAUGCUGAUGACUCGGAUAGAUGAUGGACUAUGUAGUUCCUCAGGUUCCUUCACCUUUUUGAUAUUAGCCUCAAAGCAAGCUUGGUCUAUUAGGGAUAAAUGUUACAUAAGAUUUAGUUAUCUUAGCUAAUGAGUCUGAUUAUUUGUUUUUAGAAAAAGGAUGAUAAACAAUAAACAAGUCUACAAAAAUCUACUCUUCAAUCUUGAAAGUUUUUUUAUCUCCAUUGGAAAGUUUGGCCCUGCUUAUAAAUCUUGUAUCAUCGAGACGAGGUCCUUGCAAUUUGUACUAAAGUAUUGGCACAACAACAUUUGUAACAUGCAUUCGAUAGCCCAAGAAAUGGCCAUAAGCUCUAAAUGUAUCGGUAACACACUUCUCGUCUGAUUUUUAGCUCCUCAAAGUUGAAUUUUUCAUGUCGAAUUUGUCUAAGCCCAUCCAAAACCAAUAAAGAGUUAUUCAUGAGUCCAUGAUUUAUAAACCAUACAAAUUUCAUGUAAGCUUAUGCUUAUGGCUCGGAUAGAUGAUAGACUAUGUCGUUCCUCAGGUUCCUUCACCUUUUUGAUAUUAGCCUCAAAGCAAGCUUGGUCUUCCAUUUCGGCAUGCCUAAUAGUGUCUACGGAAUGCCUGUUAAUUCCUUUGAACAAUUUAUCAUUUUGCGCUUUUCAGAUAUACAAAAUAUCUAUAAGUAAGUGUUUCUAUCCAUUUCUGGAUAUAUACACAUGAAAUAGGGAAUACCAUUGGGUAAGAAGGUAUUGCUGCUAAUACCCAAGUUUAAAAAGUGGGUAGACAAUAAAAUAGCAUGGUUUAUGAAUUCAUCUUUUACUCUGGAUCUAAAACAUUGAUUAUCAUAUUUCAUAUGGCCGUGUUAAAUUCAUGGUUGCAUACAGUUUAACUACCGUGUUCAGUUACCAAUCGGACCCACUAUAUAGUAUUGUUUCCCUUCUUCGUUUAUCGACGUUAGCGUUAACAGUGUACUCAUUGCUCACAACUAAGUAGCUCAUAACUUGUAGUAAUAGUUACUAAAUGUGAUCUUAUUAAUUAACUGAAUCAAACUAAGCGAAUAAUUAGGAGUUCCACUAACAUUAAAGAUUUGGUCAUGUGUCUGAUUUGUCGUCUCCCAAUUAUGUAUGCAAAUUUUGUGGGAAACCUCGUUAUCAGGAGACGAGGGGAAGAGUUCCGAUCCCAUUCAAAAGAAUGUGGUAUUUGCCUUUGACGGAAAGAUUGAAGAGGUUGUAUCAGUGUGAGCGCACAGCAAAAGCAAUGAGAUGGCAUGCAGAGCAUUCCACAAAUGGUGAGAUUAGACAUCCUUCAGAUGCAAAGGCUUGGAAACAUUUCCAGUCAACAUAUCCAGAAUUUGCGGAAGAGAGAAGAAAUGUUUAUCUUGGAUUAUCUACUGAUGGUUUCAGCCCAUUUGGAAAGCAUGGAAGGCAGUAUUCUCUAUGGCCAGUUAUUGUGACACCGUACAACUUACGGCCGAGCUUGUGCAUGCGACGAGAGUUUUUGUUUCUCUCAAUUCUAGUCCCCGGGCCAGAUCAUCCUAAAAGAUCACUAGAUGUAUUUCUUCAACCACCAAUAUAUGAGUUGCAACAACUAUGGGCGCAUGGUUUUGAGACAUACCAUGUUUCGCGCAAAGAAAACUUUCAGAUGCGGGCAGUACUUAUGUGGACAAUAAGUGACUUUCCAGCAUAUGGUAUGUUAUCUGGAUGGACAACACAUGGGAAGCUAUCAUGUCCAUAUUGUCAAGAUGACACAGAUGCUUUCCAACUAAAGAACGGAAGGAAAACGUGUUGGUUUGACUGUCACAGACGAUUUCUACCACCUGAUCAUCCAUACCGCAGGAGUAAGACUUCGUUUACGAAGAACAAGCAGGUGUUUGAUGGUCCACCUGAGGAAGUUAGUGGGAAAGAUUUGUUGAAGCAGUUUAGGUAUUUUGAUGCAGAAAGGACGCCAGAUGUAGGUGGACAUGAAAACAUUCGAGUCAAUGCGGUUGGAGAGCUACAUAACGGGCAAAAAAAGAGUAUUUUCUGGGAUCUGCCAUAUUGGGAGAGUCAUCUAUUGCGGCAUAAUUUAGAUGUCAUGCAUAUUGAGAAGAACUUCUUCGAUAAUCUGAUGAACACAGUCCUUAACAUCCAAGGUAAAACGAAGAAUAAUUUGAAGUCAAGGUUGGAUUUAGUCGAUAUUUGUGAUCGUUCUGAACUUCACGUUGAUGAGAACGGUACGGCUCCUUUUCCCAUUUAUCGGCUGGAUGGUGCUAGAAAAGAAGAGUUCUUUGAUUGGAUUACAGAGAAAGUGAAAUUUCCUGACGGAUAUGCAUCAAAUUUGGGGAACUGCGUUGAUAGAAGCGAAGGAAAGUUUACUGGCUUGAAGAGUCAUGAUUGUCAUGUAAUUAUGCAGCGCCUCCUUCCGUUUGCNNNNNNNNNNNNNNNNNNNNNNNNNNNNNNNNNNNNNNNNNNNNNNNNNNNNNNNNNNNNNNNNNNNNNNNNNNNNNNNNNNNNNNNNNNNNNNNNNNNNNNNNNNNNNNNNNNNNNNNNNNNNNNNNNNNNNNNNNNNNNNNNNNNNNNNNNNNNNNNNNNNNNNNNNNNNNNNNNNNNNNNNNNNNNNNNNNNNNNNNNNNNNNNNNNNNNNNNNNNNNNNNNNNNNNNNNNNNNNNNNNNNNNNNNNNNNNNNNNNNNNNNNNNNNNNNNNNNNNNNNNNNNNNNNNNNNNNNNNNNNNNNNNNNNNNNNNNNNNNNNNNNNNNNNNNNNNNNNNNNNNNNNNNNNNNNNNNNNNNNNNNNNNNNNNNNNNNNNNNNNNNNNNNNNNNNNNNNNNNNNNNNNNNNNNNNNNNNNNNNNNNNNNNNNNNNNNNNNNNNNNNNNNNNNNNNNNNNNNNNNNNNNNNNNNNNNNNNNNNNNNNNNNNNNNNNNNNNNNNNNNNNNNNNNNNNNNNNNNNNNNNNNNNNNNNNNNNNNNNNNNNNNNNNNNNNNNNNNNNNNNNNNNNNNNNNNNNNNNNNNNNNNNNNNNNNNNNNNNNNNNNNNNNNNNNNNNNNNNNNNNNNNNNNNNNNNNNNNNNNNNNNNNNNNNNNNNNNNNNNNNNNNNNNNNNNNNNNNNNNNNNNNNNNNNNNNNNNNNNNNNNNNNNNNNNNNNNNNNNNNNNNNNNNNNNNNNNNNNNNNNNNNNNNNNNNNNNNNNNNNNNNNNNNNNNNNNNNNNNNNNNNNNNNNNNNNNNNNNNNNNNNNNNNNNNNNNNNNNNNNNNNNNNNNNNNNNNNNNNNNNNNNNNNNNNNNNNNNNNNNNNNNNNNNNNNNNNNNNNNNNNNNNNNNNNNNNNNNNNNNNNNNNNNNNNNNNNNNNNNNNNNNNNNNNNNNNNNNNNNNNNNNNNNNNNNNNNNNNNNNNNNNNNNNNNNNNNNNNNNNNNNNNNNNNNNNNNNNNNNNNNNNNNNNNNNNNNNNNNNNNNNNNNNNNNNNNNNNNNNNNNNNNNNNNNNNNNNNNNNNNNNNNNNNNNNNNNNNNNNNNNNNNNNNNNNNNNNNNNNNNNNNNNNNNNNNNNNNNNNNNNNNNNNNNNNNNNNNNNNNNNNNNNNNNNNNNNNNNNNNNNNNNNNNNNNNNNNNNNNNNNNNNNNNNNNNNNNNNNNNNNNNNNNNNNNNNNNNNNNNNNNNNNNNNNNNNNNNNNNNNNNNNNNNNNNNNNNNNNNNNNNNNNNNNNNNNNNNNNNNNNNNNNNNNNNNNNNNNNNNNNNNNNNNNNNNNNNNNNNNNNNNNNNNNNNNNNNNNNNNNNNNNNNNNNNNNNNNNNNNNNNNNNNNNNNNNNNNNNNNNNNNNNNNNNNNNNNNNNNNNNNNNNNNNNNNNNNNNNNNNNNNNNNNNNNNNNNNNNNNNNNNNNNNNNNNNNNNNNNNNNNNNNNNNNNNNNNNNNNNNNNNNNNNNNNNNNNNNNNNNNNNNNNNNNNNNNNNNNNNNNNNNNNNNNNNNNNNNNNNNNNNNNNNNNNNNNNNNNNNNNNNNNNNNNNNNNNNNNNNNNNNNNNNNNNNNNNNNNNNNNNNNNNNNNNNNNNNNNNNNNNNNNNNNNNNNNNNNNNNNNNNNNNNNNNNNNNNNNNNNNNNNNNNNNNNNNNNNNNNNNNNNNNNNNNNNNNNNNNNNNNNNNNNNNNNNNNNNNNNNNNNNNNNNNNNNNNNNNNNNNNNNNNNNNNNNNNNNNNNNNNNNNNNNNNNNNNNNNNNNNNNNNNNNNNNNNNNNNNNNNNNNNNNNNNNNNNNNNNNNNNNNNNNNNNNNNNNNNNNNNNNNNNNNNNNNNNNNNNNNNNNNNNNNNNNNNNNNNNNUUGAAUAAAUCUCAUAGGAGUUGGCAUGAAGAAGUUAUCCCACUUUCAAAUCAGGUGAUCCCAGUUUCCCAGUUUGGGAAUAACACAGCUUCUUCUCUACAAUUUUGAUACAAAGGUUGUUUUCCUGCAUCCAACAUGUCAAAAAAUCUCCUAGACUCGGGGUUUGGUUCUUCCCCUCUAUAAUGAUCAUGUACCAUCUGCUCAGUACCUACACCAUAAUCUAUAUCCGUUCUAGAUUCUUCUAACCUAAUAUCAGGCUGAGGUUCACUAACAGGCUGAGGUUCGCUAGUACUACCAUAUUCAUAACCAGUUUCCCCAUGAAGGUACCAAACUUUAUAAUUACGUGAAAACCCUUUCAUAUACAAAUGAGUCCAAACAUCAAAUUCUUUUAUAACCUUAUUAUUAUUGCAAGAAGAGCAGGGACAUCUUAACAUACCACUUUUUGCAUCCGGUUGCUGUUGAACAAGCCUCAUGAAUUCUCCAAUCCCUUGAACGUAUUCUUCCGUAAGCAAAUUGGUGUUCGGAUCCAAAUGAGGUUUAUCCAUCCACGAACGAUAAUAAACUUCUGAAGACAUGAUUUUCACGGAAUUGUUAUGACUAAAGAGAAUGAAGAGAGAAUGAAGUGUGAAUGAGAUGAAUGAAGAGGGGUUAUAUUUAUAGGAAAUUGCUUACGGACCUCCGAUGACUUUCCGACGGAUGUAAGCAGUCCGUCGGAAUUCCGUCGGAAUUGUCCAAUCUCAUAGUUCGUCGGAAUUCCGUCGGUAUUUUCCGAUGGAAUUCCGACGACUUUGCUCUUAAUCGGAAUGUCGUCGGAAAUUCGUCGGAAUAUACCGACGAACUUCCGACGACUACAACGGUUACAUUUUUUAUCGGAAUGUCGUCGAAAAGUCGUCGGAAAAUUCCGACGAACCAAAUUUGGUCGGAAUUCCGUCGGAAAUGGCCGACGGAAUUCCGACGACUUAAUUUUUUUGGAUUUGGUCGGAAAUUUGUCAGUAUUCCGUCACAAAUUUCCGACGACCUUGGUGUCCGUCGGAACCUCCGUCGGAAUUCGGUGUGUUUUCUUGUAGUGCAAGGAACCAAAAGCAUCGCCUCAAGUGGAGGCCAGCAGUAAAUCAGUAACCAUAUAUACACAUUCAUACAUUUUAAUGCAAGAUAAGAUAAUAGCACUUCUGCCACGUGGCCUUAACAUAGUGGUCAGUAUCGAUAAGGGUCUUAACACCUUUCUUUAAUCAUGUGGCAGUUAACGACGUUAUCAUGAAAUCUGGACCCUCUGGUUAUUAGGGCCUUUUCCUCUUGCGGUUCUCGUUAUAUAUAAUAGAUAACCAAAGCUAUAGACAAACAAGUAAGUUAAGAGAAAAGAAGAAGAAGAAGAAGUAGUAAUGGCUUCCUCUAUGCUUUCCUCCGCUGCUGUGGUUACCUCACCGGCUCAAGCCACCAUGGUCGCUCCAUUCACCGGCUUGAAGUCAUCCGCUGCAUUCCCAGUCACCCGCAAAGCAAACAACGACAUUACUUCCAUUGCAAGCAACGGAGGAAGAGUUAGCUGCAUGAAGGUAAAUAUCACUAGAAUAAUUGCAGGCAUGUCCUUUAUUACACGCAACUGGUGCAUUCGAACAUGAAUCCCAUUGAAAAAUGUAUAUAACGUACCUUGGAUCAAUAAAUGUCCAAAACAAUAUAUACAAACUUGACUUAGUAUUCACCAACUGGAAAUGUGAUUUAAUUUGUAGGUGUGGCCACCAGUUGGAAAGAAGAAGUUUGAGACCCUCUCUUACCUUCCUGACCUUACCGAAGUUGAAUUGGGUAAGGAAGUUGACUACCUUCUCCGCAACAAGUGGAUUCCUUGUGUUGAAUUCGAGUUGGAGGUAAUAAAGAAAAAAUAAUUUUUGGAUCUAAACAUCCUUUAUUAGACCAUGUGAAUUCUUAUUAUGAAUGGUACUCUCAUGUUUGUGUAGCAUGGAUUUGUGUACCGUGAGCACGGAAGCACACCCGGAUACUACGAUGGCCGUUACUGGACAAUGUGGAAGCUUCCCUUGUUCGGAUGCACUGACUCUGCUCAAGUGUUGAAGGAAGUCCAAGAAUGCAAAACGGAGUACCCUAACGCUUUCAUCAGGAUCAUCGGAUUCGACAACAACCGUCAAGUCCAGUGCAUCAGUUUCAUCGCCUACAAGCCACCAAGCUUCACCGGUGCUUAAUUUGCUAUGACAUUCACAUAAUAAUCUCUGCUCAUUUCAUUUCGAAUUGUCUGUUUCUUUUCCCUUUGGUUUUCUGUUUCUCAGACAUUCUAUAUCGGAUUGUCAAAUGUGUGAUUGUGAACAUGUAAUCUCUAUAUUGCUUCUUCGUCUUGGUUACUUUCCGAUGGCUAUUAGGUUUUCAACUCUUAUUGGGAUAGGAAAACAGUCAAAAUAACUUAACAAAACAGGUUAGAUAAUGUUAGUGGUAUAUUUUGUAGAAUAGGAAAACAGCAGUACCUAGGAAUAUAAUUUCAGAUGAAGUUAGUUAGGUCAUCAAAGAUUCAAAUAACAAUCAUUUUAUCUUUUUAUCGUCACAUUCACAAUAGUAUCAUAUACGGGUUUAUGUAUAUUUAAUAUAGAUUACAAUUCAUUCAUAAAAUAGUCAUCAUUUGAUAUUUAACACUUAUUACGUGGACUUUAUGAGAUCUUUUGUACACACUACUGGUACAUUGAAAAUAAGAUACAUGUAUUAUAUAUAUAUAUAAACUACUUCCUAGAUAUCUUUGUUCUUAUUUUUGUUAAUUCUUUUGAAGGAAAAAGAUAAUAAAUUUUCUACUUUUCUAUAAUACCCACACACAUUGUUAACCACUGGGGGAAAGGAUGGUCCACUUGAAAUCUUUGAUGGACACAUUUGUGGACGGUGUGCAUACAUAAGAUAGGGCAUGUGGAUAAGAAUUUAUCAUAAUAUUUAACAAAUACUAAGUGAAAAUCUGCGCCUUGCGGAAGAUGAACAUUAUAAUAUAUAUAUUAUGUAUUAUAUGUUCUUUUACCUUUUAAGAAAUAAUAAAGAAUAAAUAAAAAUUCAUUAACUAUUAUGUAUAUAAUUAAACUGGUAUAAUAAAUUAUAUUAACCAAAACAAUCACUUUCUAUUUUAUAUGAUAUAUAAUUCAAUUUUUAAAUGAUAAUAACAUUUUUUUUUGUCAUCUGUUGGAUUAAUAUUGAAACUUGAACAAAGGUUACAUUAAGCCGGCAAGACAAAGAUUCUUCCGGAGCCAGUAGCCAGCAUAGUAAACAAUACUAUCUGGAGCCAAAGAUUAAAAUAUAGAAAACAACACAUAAACUAGAAGACACAGACCAUAAAGGCAGAUGACUACAAACAUCUAGACGAGACUCAAACCCAUUCAUACAAGAAACAAACCGGACUGUUAGCUAAUAGAUAACCGUUGCUGUAGACUGCGCCUCCUCCUCCUCCUCUACGCCUGUACUCCACUGACCUCCUCCAAUUCCAACUUAAACUCGCCACUGGACUUUGAAAGGGCUCAGCACGCGCCUUCUACGCGCCUCCACACCACAGCAAGGCCACCCAAGCCUUACUUAACACGAUUCUUCUCCAUACAGCCGGUAACCACUAGCCAACCACCACAGGCCAUAGAUCUGACAAGAUCGAUGUCUGUUGCGUCCAGAUCUGAAUCUCUUCACUUCAAUCCGAAGACAUGAAGCUUCUAUUCAGAUUUGAGACCAUCGAAAACUAAAAAGAGAAUAAAACUAGAAGAAACAUGCAACCACCUUCUCACGGAACCAACGGCGAGAGGCCGCGGCCGGAGAAGGUGAAAAGACGACGACUCUGCUUUUUUUUUUCACUCGCUCUGCCCUUUUUUUCACCAGUAUCAAUGUCCAAAAAAAAUGAUAAUAACAUAUAUAUAUAUAUAUAUAUAAUUUAUUUUUAAUAUUGAUAUCUAUUAAAUGAUGUUUUUACUCAUAAGGUUUUUUGAUCAUUUGUAUAUUUUUAUAACCAAAAACUUUAAAUCGUUGAUAACAAAAUUUUCACUCUGAAAUUAAUAAUUUUAUUAAUUUAUAUAUUUUUUAAAAAAAUCAAUGAAAUAUUUUAAGUUUAAAUAUUAAUUUGUCAAUAGUUGUUCAAAUAUUUAUCAAGAAAAAAAAAUUCAAAACAAAUUUCAAAAUUAAAAUAUUUAUGUAUUCUAUAUGUUAUAUAGUUUAAUUUAAAAGAUAUUAAUAUAUAUAUUUUUUAAUCUUAAUAUUUAUUAAAUCAGAUUUUUUAAUUAAAUUAUUUUGUAAGCAUUUGUAUCUUAUCAUAGGAAAAAUCUUAAACAAUGGAUCACAAUAAUUUGAAUGUGAGAGUUUUGACAGUUUUAAUAAUUGAUGGUCGUUUUAAAAAAAAUAUAUAACAUAUACAGAAAAAUCUAAAUUUUUAUUAUAUGGUUAAUGUGGUCGUUUAAUUUAUUUUAAUAAUUUGAAAUUAAACAAAUAUGAUAGAUGAUACAAUGAUUUUUAUUAAAUCUGUAUUAUUAAUUUUCAUAUAUACUUUAGCCACAUUAGAAAAUUUUGUAAUUUUUAUUUAAGGAAAGAAUGAUGAAUAUUAAUGAUGAAUUAUGAUUAAUUUAAUAAAAAACUUAUUAUAUAUUUAGAUGAACCAAUCUGUUUUUUUAGGAUUCUGAAACUUAUUAUGGUGAUGAUAUGUGUAUACCUCAAAUGUUGUAAUGUUUUUCUUUUAAUAUAUAAGAGAUACACACAUAUAUAUAUAUUUCUUAAUUCUUAAUUGUAGUUAAGUAAAACAUUGCUGCGUUGCAAAUGUGAACUAGAACAUCUACAUAAACAAGACCUUUUAACAACUGAAUAUUUACUGUAAAAUAGAAGUUUGUUUGAAGGAAAAAAGAAAUAUAAUUUAAAAAUAAGAAAAAAUUUCUGGGAAGAACUUGUGAUGCAGGUUUAGGUUUUCUAUACAAGGAGCAUGAGCCUUAUAAAGAAUAAUGGACUUUGGAGAAUAAGAAAACCGAUAGAGAUUUGUGUGCUUGUGUGAUCGAUCGUUUGGUGUCAUUGCUGCCCGCUAGGUGCUAACAAACUUUGAGAGAAUUCUAGAAUUGAAUUCUAGGCUCUUGGGGAUUUUUAGAUUACGAUUAGGUUAUCCUAAUGAGUUCUUGCAAUAGAAAACAACGGCAUUUUAGGAGGAUUGCACUUUCCUUACUUAACACGAUUCUUCUCCAUACAGCCGGUAACCACUAGCCAACCACCACAGGCCAUAGAUCUGACAAGAUCGAUGUCUGUUGCGUCCAGAUCUGAAUCUCUUCACUUCAAUCCGAAGACAUGAAGCUUCUAUUCAGAUUUGAGACCAUCGAAAACUAAAAAGAGAAUAAAACUAGAAGAAACAUGCAACCACCUUCUCACGGAACCAACGGCGAGAGGCACUUUACUCUAGCCUCAUUCACACUUUCAAUUGGUAUCAAAACGAUUUUCCGAUAGGCCUGAGAUUUUGGGUAAUCGGGUCGGUUCCGAGUAGUUUGGUUAUUUGAAAACUGUAUCCAAAUAGUGUUUGGUCGACGUAUGGUUCAGUUUCGAAUCGGUCAAAUUUUUUGAUGAAACUAACCAUAUAUAACCCAAAAAUGGGUAAAUUUUGGUUCGGUUAAAUAUUACCCUAUUUAACUAAAAACUGAAACUAGACUUGUUACCCAAACGACAUCUGAUUAACCAAAAAAAAAAAACUCUAGAAAAUGAAAUGUUAAAUGAAACCAGACUCAUUAAUCAAAGUGUCAAAGCAAAACAAGCCAGGAAAUAAAAUAUAAUUUUCCAACACAGAAAAUGAAACAAACAUAGCUCCAUGAAACAAAGUUUUCAAAUCACACCAGAAACAAAAAAUACUUAAGUCUUAAACAAGAAGAACACAAACUGUCAAAUUACUUGAAAUAUUGUCUUUUUAGCACCAAAUGAGUCCCAGAGUUCACUCCUUACUCUAUGUUGUAUUCAGUUUCAAACUCUAGGAAAAAACAAAGAAUACCAUAAGUGUUCAAAACUUCAAUAAUCAAGAUUAUAUUUGGAAGUUCUGAUCAUGACACAUUGCAACCAAACUCUAGAAUCAGCGUAAGUCUAGUUGAAGAUUAGAAAAUUUUAACUCGUUGUCGAUUUUACCGAGUUUGGAAAUGAUGCUGUUGUACACUUCAAGUCAGAUGCUGAGGUUGGAGAGUUUGACGAAGAUUCGGAUUCAUGUCCGUCUGAUUAUUCUUCGGAUUUUGGGUAGAUUAACGUAUUUAGAAAAUCUGUAAUCAUAUAUUUAACUUUCAAUUGUGUAGUUUUUUUAUUUAUUGGUUGUUGGAGUUGAAUAAAAUAGUUGUAUUUUUUUGGUUGUUGGACUUAAGAAAUUUACAAUGUAUUCGAAAAUUAUUUAAUAUUCAAAAAUUUCUUUAUUUUGUUGGUAUUCUGUCGGUAUAUUCCAACAGAAUUCCAAUGAAAACACUUAUAUUGGGGUUUCGGUUUGGGGUUUCAUUUCCAUCGGAAUUAUACCAACGGAAUUGACCAAUGUCGUCGGAAUUCUGUCGGAAUAUUCCGAUGGAAUUCCAGCGAAUAAAUGUUUUCGAUAUGAUUCAGUUAAUAUUAAUGUAAAACCGGAUACCUAUGAGGUCAAAAACACAUAUUAAGUGUCUAAUAGGAUGUGAGUUAAAAAGCAUUCCAUUUUUACAAGUUAUAAAAUCCUCUACAAAUAUAUCCGCGGAUAUGUAAUAUCUCCCAUAAGCAUUUAUAUACUUAAAAAACAUAUUUCGAGAAUCCAACUUACAAUAUCAAUUAUUUGUAAUAUGAUCUCGUAUAAACAAUUAUAUACUUAAACAUGCAGAUAACUCCUUCUAAGUUAUCAAAAAGUUAUAAGAGUUUAUUGUGGGUCAAAUUUCAAUUGUUUUGAAACCCCCUCUCAUUUUCAUUGUAAAUUCAUUGGAAUAUACUGGCAAAAUUCCGAUGGAUCUAUUUUUCAACCAAUUGAAAAGCAUGCAGAGAAUAUGCUAUAUUCGUCAGAAUUUUAAAAGUAUUUUUCUGAAAAACUUCUGACGAAUAUAGCAUAUUCUUGUUUCCGACUUGGUCAGUUGACCAAUUAACAAAAAGUUCGACGAAAAAUAUAGGGUCAUUGUAAUUUCGUCGGAAUUUUAAUGUACCUGGGAAAAGGAACAGCCAAAAUUUUCGUGAACUGCCAAAUACCAAAAUAUUUUGAUGGAAUUCUGACGACCCUUUUCCGUCAUAAAUGUUUUAUAUAAAAAAACAUAUUUGCCUUCUUCUUCUUCUUCCUCAUUCCCCUCUCUCUCUCUCUCUCUAAUCCAGCGAGUGUAAACAUAUAUAACUAUUAAAUGAAUUUAGAAAACAAACUGUUUAAUAUAGCCAAAAAUGAACGUGAGUUUUUAGUUGAAAACCAAAAAAACAUACUAACUCAAAUCUUAACACAUGGUUUUUUUUAUGUUGAAUUACCACUUAAUUUGUCAAUUUUACCAAAGGAAUACCUCAAAAUUGUAACUCAAAUGUAAUACAUUAUACAUCAAAUAGUAACUCAAAAAUCUAAAAACUAAUCUUAGAUUUAACCCAAACUUAAUCUUAUAAAACAUUGCUUUUGAUGUAAGGAUAAUUUUUUGGAUUAAUAAAAUUUACAUUCAUUAAAAAAAACAUAAAAAUACAGCACUAUCUGACCAGAGAUAAAUAUAAUUGGUAAUCUUGUAUCAUUGCAAUAAAGGCAUCCAAAAUUUCAUUUGGUUGAGAAGUUCGGCUCGGUUCAAAAAAAAGCAGGUUUAUAAAAAAAAAUUGGUUUUUGGCUCGUUCAGUUCGGUAAUCGGUUAGAUCGGUUUCAAAAAAAAAAAUUUGUUCCCAAAUUUCAAUCCGAACUAACCUAGCUAACCAAAAUUUCGAAUCGAAGUAACCAAGCAACCUAAAAUUACUCAAAAUUUUGAACCGAACUAAUAGAAUUAACCAAAAUAUUGGACCAAAUUAACCAGACUAACAGAAUUAACCGAAUUAACCAAUUUUACCCAAAUUUUUAACCGAAAUAUAAUCAGAAUCAAAAACUUUAGUUAGUUUCGGUAAAAUUUUAAAAACCUAACUACCCAAAUACCAAACUGAACUGA